rnacentral:rRNA from 1 species
GAAGAUGGAAUUCCAGGUGUAGCGGUAAAAUGCGCAGAUAUCUGGAGGAACACCAGUGGCGAAAGCGGUCUUCUAGGUCAAUACUGACACUCAGACGCGAAAGCUAGGGUAGCAAACGGGAUUAGAGACCCCGGUAGUCCUAGCCCUAAACGAUGUAGACUAGGCGUUGGUGGCUUAAUCGCCAUCAGUGUCCAAGCUAACGCGAUAAGUCUACCGCCUGGGGACUACGGCCGCAAGGUUAAAACUCAAAGGAAUUGACGGGUCCCCGCACAAGCAGCGGAGCGUGUGGUUUAAUUCGUUGCUACACGAAGAACCUUACCUGGGUUUGACAUAGCAGUGGUAGGGAAGCGAAAGCGGACCGACCCUUCGGGGAGCUGUUACAGGUGUUGCAUGGCUGUCGUCAGCUCGUGUCGUGAGAUGUUCGGUUAAGUCCGCUAACGAGCGCAACCCGCGUGAUGUGUUACAAGUGUCACAUCAUACUGCCGAUAUUAAGUCGGAGGAAGGUGCGGAUGACGUCAAGUCAGCAUGACCUUUAUAUCCAGGGCUACACACACGCUACAAUGGUCGGUACAACAGGUUGCCAAGCCGCGAGGCGGAGCCAAUCCUCUAAAGCCGACCUCAGUUCAGAUUGCAGGCUGCAACUCGCCUGCAUGAAGUUGGAGUUGCUAGUAACCGUAGGUCAGCUAUACUGCGGUGAAUACGUUCCCGGGGAUUGUACACACCGCCCGUCAAGUCAUGGGGGCUGGCAACACCUGAAGCUGGUAUCCUAACCCGUAAGGGAGGGAGCUAUCAAAGGUGGGGUCGGUGACUGGGUUCUAAGUCGUAACAAGGUA